rnacentral:rRNA from 1 species
UACGUAGGGUGCAAGCGUUAAUCGGAAUUACUGGGCGUAAAGCGUGCGCAGGCGGUUCGCUAAGACCGAUGUGAAAUCCCCGGGCUUAACCUGGGAACUGCAUUGGUGACUGGCGGGCUAGAGUAUGGCAGGGGGGAGUAGAAUUCCACGUGUAGCAGUGAAAUGCGUAGAGAUGUGGAGGAAUACCGAUGGCGAAGGCAGCCCCCUGGGCCAAUACUGACGCUCAUGCACGAAAGCGUGGGGAGCAAACAGG